CCCGCGAAGGCCAGCGAAUCUGUUAAACACAACCCCAGUUCGGAUUGCAGGCUGCAACUCGCC
rnacentral:rRNA from 14 species